UUUGGAAAUGAAAGUAAAACGCAGCUCCAAACGUCCGUGGGUGAUAGGUGGCCUCGGCUGAAGUGUUGGCGCCUGCAUUAAGAAGAAAUAGAGGAGGGGAGGUGCAGAGUGUCUUGGAUGGCUUUCCAUGUGCUGGGUCUUUCCUCUUCAUCACGGCAGAAACAUAUCAUCUCCAACGUAAUGAAUAAGGAAAUCAAGGGUCAAAGGGGCAGAGUACUGGUCCUGGGUUUUGGAUUCAAUUCCAAUCUAUCUUUCCUAAACCUCACAUGUUUUUUGUUUGUCUUUUGCUGUAUUCAUAGUCCAUACCCUUUGGAGUGACGGGCUGUUCCUCUUGAGCCACCAAGUUCCCUGUACCUCCCUGUGGUUACCAAUGUGAUUUUGCAAGACAGAGCUCUAGAAGUAGGCUUCCCAGCAGGGACAGCCAUCUCUAGGUCAGCCACUCUCUAAGGACCUGCCCAAGGAAGAGCCUUCUGUCCCAUGGCCAUAAAGACUAUCAGGUGCCACCAACUUCACCACAAAGUUUGCAGCUAGAGGUGGCGAGCCUUGCUGAACCAGCAGGGUGAGAUUUCAUCAAACAGCUGCUCUGGUUUCAACAGAGCGUGGUUGAGCCUUGCACUCAUGGGCUGCCUUAGCUACAUGGAGGGCAGCUGGCUCUGUCUCCCAACUGCAUGACCACACCCCUGGGGACUGUUUCCCGGGCUAGUGCCAGAAAUACUGCCAUGGGCUGUCAGGACUUUCUGGUAUGUGAGAGGUGGGCCUCUGAUCAGCUUUCCCUCUAACCAGACUGUUGCAUGAUUACAUCUGGGAGCUUGUCCAUACUGCUGUGCAGGCCAGCUCAUUCCAAAUGGAACCAGUUAAUCCUUCCUGGAACUGGCUGCAGGAGCAAAUUGAACAUAAAGAAAGUAAAAGACAGAUCCAGGAAAGAGGAAGAAAAGCAGCAAGGAAGGAGGGUCAAAGAACCGGAAAAAGAGUGGAAAGGAGGGCAAGAAAGAGCAUCUCCUGGGUCUUAACCUGCCAUGUCAAGCUUCCUUCCGGAAGUGCCGUUAGCCUCAGCUGAGAGAACUGCAUCCUGGGAGGUGUCCACGUACAUACUGGCAGUAAAGGGUGAAAUCUCAGUUUUGCGUCAAUGAACG
rnacentral:lncRNA from 1 species